rnacentral:lncRNA from 1 species
UCCCUACAGUGACCACAUGGCGUGGUGAGGAAAGUGGGGCUAGAGGGUGCUCAGUCAAGGAACUUGCCCAACGUCACGAUGAGAUGCAGGUGGAUGGAACCAGUAGGACUGAGACUUUAAAUAUGACCUUGCUCUUCCCAGCCCAGAGCUUCUCCCUAUCCCCCUGCACCUGACUCAGGUGACUCAGGGGUCAGCUAAGAUCACUGUCAGAUAUCGGCUCUGCCUCUGGCACAGAGGAAGGACCACAACUCCCUCCGAUGAGACUCACCUCACUGCCCCACCGGGAAAAGGCUCUUUUCAGGCUGGAAGUCAACAGCAUCAUGGGCAAGGAGUUGACAGCUGAACAGAAAAGGAGACAAUAGUUGCUUCAGAAGAGCAGGCCAGCGCCUGAGAAAGAGGCCGGCCCACUGAUGAGUGGAACCAUCCCUAUGCCACAGGCCAAGGGAAGGACGGGGUGCUUUCCGCAAAGAUGCAUUGUGUUCAGUUCCCAAAGCCAAGACCUGUUUGCCCAAGCCUGGUGCCCCGCAGUCACGGCCUGAGGAAGGUCUUCUGUAAGUCAGCAAGUCCAUCCUUCUGCUUUCCUGAAGGUUCCUACUACAAGGUGCCAAACCAGAAGUGCUAUUAGAACUGGCUGGGGCUCAACAGGAGAGAGAAUGAGAGGGAAGCCAGAGAGAGAAAGGAUAGACCAAUGUCACAUUCCCCUUCAGCAACGACACUGCCUAUUAACAUGGACUCAUCAAGCAUCUCAUGAACAUCAUCUGCCACAUAAAUAAUGGAUAAU